rnacentral:rRNA from 2 species
CCUGAUUGAUUCUGUCAGCGCGAUAUGCUCAAGUAAAAGAUUAAGCCAUGCAUGCUUUGAUUCAUCAAUGAAAUUGCGUACGGCUCAUUAGAGCAGAUAUCACCUUGUUCGGAAUAUUAUAUGGAUAACUGCGGAAAUACUGGAGCUAAUACAUGCAACUAAGCCCCAACGUAAGGCGGGGUGCAAUUAUUAGAACAGACCAAACGUUUUCGGACGUUGUUUGUUGACUCUGAAUAAAGCAGUUUACUGUCAGUUUCGACUGACUCUAUCCGAAAAGGGUGUCUGCCCUUUCAACUAGAUGGUAGUUUAUUGGACUACCAUGGUUGUUACGGGUAACGGAGAAUAAGGGUUCGACUCCGGAGAGGGAGCCUUAGAAACGGCCACCACGUCCAAGGAAGGCAGCAGGCGCGAAACUUAUCCACUGUUGAGUAUGAGAUAGUGAAUAAAAUUAUAAAGACUCAUCCUUUUGGAUGAGUUAUUUCAAUGAGUUGAAUACAAAUGAUUCUUCGAGUAGCAAGGAGAGGGCAAGUCUGGUGCCAGCAGCCGCGGUAAUUCCAGCUCUCCUAGUGUAUCUCGUUAUUGCUGCGGUUAAAAAGCUCGUAGUUGGAUCUAGGUUACGUUCUGUAGUUCGCAAUUUGCGUCAACUGUAGUCGUGAUUUCUAAUUUGCUGGUUUGAGGUUGGGUUCGCCCUUCAACUGCCAGCAGGUUUACCUUGAAUAAAUCAGAGUGCUCAAAACAAGUGUUUGCUUGAAUAGCUCAUCAUGGAAUAAUGAAACAGGACUUCGGUUCUUUUUGUUGGUUCUAGAACUGAUUUAAUGGUUAAGAGGGACAAACCGGGGGCAUUCGUAUCAUUACGCGAGAGGUGAAAUUCGUGGACCGUAGUGAGACGCCCAACAGCGAAAGCAUUUGCCAAGAAUGUCUUCAUUAAUCAAGAACGAAAGUCAGAGGUUCGAAGGCGAUUAGAUACCGCCCUAGUUCUGACCGUAAACGAUGCCAUCUCGCGAUUCGGAGGGUUUUUGGCCUGCCGAGGAGCUAUCCGGAAACGAAAGUCUUUCGGUUCCGGGGGUAGUAUGGUUGCAAAGCUGAAACUUAAAGAAAUUGACGGAAGGGCACCACAAGGCGUGGAGCUUGCGGCUUAAUUUGACUCAACACGGGAAAACUCACCCGGUCCGGACACCUUUAGGACUGACAGAUUGAAAGCUCUUUCUCGAUAUGGUGGUUGGUGGUGCAUGGCCGUUCUUAGUUGGUGGAGUGAUUUGUCUGGUUUAUUCCGAUAACGAGCGAGACUCUAGCCUGCUAAAUAGUUGGCGAACCCUUAGUAUGCCUAAGUGUUAAAGUAUUGCCUAAAAAAAUUUGAUAUAUGAAAAUUUAUAUCAUCUAUCUACUAGGCGAAAAAAAAGGUAAAAAAAAGUAAAUAUAUAUCAUAAACCUACUAGACAAAAGAAACAUUUAUAUGUAUUUUCUCGAAUAAUGUCUAGCAGUUAAAAAAAAAUGAAUUACUACAAGCUUAAAGGUCUGUUUUAAGCAAUGCUUGUUGUAGGCAUACUUUCGGGUUCGUGUGACUUCUUAGAGGGAUAAGCGGUGUUUAGCCGCACGAGAUUGAGCGAUAACAGGUCUGUGAUGCCCUUAGAUGUCCGGGGCUGCACGCGUGCUACACUGGUAGACUCAGCGGGUUUUUCCUAUGCCGAAAGGUAUCGGUAAACCGUUGAAAUUCUGCCAUGUCCGGGAUAGGGUAUUGUAAUUAUUACCCUUGAACGAGGAAUGCCUAGUAAGUGUGAGUCAUCAGCUCACGUUGAUUACGUCCCUGCCCUUUGUACACACCGCCCGUCGCUAUCCGGGACUGAACUGAUUCGAGAAGAGUGGGGACUGUGGCUUCGAGGUUUAACGACUUCGUUGUUGCGGGAACCAUUUUUAUCGCGUUGGUUUGAACCGGGUAAAAGUCGUAACAAGGUAGCUGUAGGUGAACCUGCAGCUG